UACGUAGGGGGCUAGCGUUGUCCGGAAUCAUUGGGCGUAAAGCGCGUGUAGGCGGUUCGGUAAGUCCGCUGUGAAAGUCGGGGGCUCAACCCUCGAAUGCCGGUGGAUACUGUCGGACUAGAGUACGGAAGAGGCGAGUGGAAUUCCCGGUGUAGCGGUGAAAUGCGCAGAUAGUCGGGAGGAACACCUAUGGCGAAGGCAGCUCGCUGGGACGUUACUGACGCUGAGACGCGAAAGCGUGGGGAGCAAACAGG
rnacentral:rRNA from 1 species